rnacentral:rRNA from 1 species
CAGUCGCCACGGGAAUACAGAGGGUGCAAGCGUUAAUCGGAAUUACUGGGCGUAAAGCGCACGUAGGCGGCUUUGUAAGUCAGAGGUGAAAGCCCGGGGCUCAACCCCGGAAUUGCCUUUGAGACUGCAUCGCUUGAAUCCAGGAGAGGUGAGUGGAAUUCCGAGUGUAGAGGUGAAAUUCGUAGAUAUUCGGAAGAACACCAGUGGCGAAGGCGGCUCACUGGACUGGUAUUGACGCUGAGGUGCGAAAGCGUGGGGAGCAAACAGGAUUAGAUACCCAUGUAGUCCCUGUCUCUUAUAC